rnacentral:rRNA from 1 species
AUUGAACGCUGGCGGCAUGCCUUACACAUGCAAGUCGAACGGCAGCACGGGUGCUUGCACCUAGUGGCGAGUGGCGAACGGGUGAGUAAUACAUCGGAACAUGUCCUGUAGUGGGGGAUAGCCCGGCGAAAGCCGGAUUAAUACCGCAUACGAUCCACGGAUGAAAGCGGGGGACCUUCGGGCCUCGCGCUAUAGGGUUGGCCGAUGGCUGAUUAGCUAGUUGGUGGGGUAAAGGCCUACCAAGGCGACGAUCAGUAGCUGGUCUGAGAGGACGACCAGCCACACUGGGACUGAGACACGGCCCAGACUCCUACGGGAGGCAGCAGUGGGGAAUUUUGGACAAUGGGCGAAAGCCUGAUCCAGCAAUGCCGCGUGUGUGAAGAAGGCCUUCGGGUUGUAAAGCACUUUUGUCCGGAAAGAAAUCCUUGGCUCUAAUACAGUCGGGGGAUGACGGUACCGGAAGAAUAAGCACCGGCUAACUACGUG